rnacentral:rRNA from 1 species
UACGAGGGGGGCUAGUGUUGUUCGGGAUCACUGGGCGUAAAGGGAGCGUAGGCGGGAGCCUAAGUUGGGUGUUUAAUUCCGGGGCCCAACCCCGGGCGUGCACUCAAAACUGGGUUUCUUGAAUAGGGGAGAGGUCGGUGGAAUUGGAGGUGUAGCGGUGGAAUGCGUAGAGAUCUCCAAGAACACCCGUUGCGAAGGCGGCCGACUGGACCCAUAUUGACGCUGAGGCUCGAAAGCAUGGGGAGCAAACAGG